UUGCUGGAGAGAAGGCAUGUGACAACAACAUGAGCAGUAGUUUCUUGUGGAGAGGGAGAUGUAAGGCAGGAAGCUAGGAGGACAGUACUAAAGAAGCAGGAGGGAGCCUGGAAAGACACUGUACUAAACAAACUCUGAGAAGAGUCAGGGAGUAGGCCUAAGCAAGGCAGGUGAUAUAGGAAUUGGCCCUGGAAAAAGUGAAGCAGGCAGGUUGGGCUGAGGGCAGACAGCUCCCCCUUACACUGUUAGAGUUCUCUAGGGAGGCGGUGAGAAGACCCUUUAGCAGUCCAAGCCAUUUUUGGGGCUGUAGAAAAAUAGACUGUAGAAAGCCCUACAAGGACUGGGAUGAAUAGGGCCAAAUCAUCCAAGCAGCUGGUGGAAGAGGAGCUCCAUGCACUUCCUCAUGAGAUUUCUUUUUCCAGCUAAUCUAAGGAAUAACAUAAAGACUCAAAGCCUCAGUGAGAUGCUUUUGGGCUACAAACGGUGCAAAACGUCUCUCACAAGCCAGGAAUGAAAGAGGAAACAAGUAUUUUGGAUUGUUAUUGCUUGUAUAGUGCAAAGAGUAGUCUCUUGUGGAGAUGUAAGGACCAUGGCUGCAGCAUAAUCUCCUAAACUGAGAGAGACUCUUCUAUGACUUGGUUUAGGCCCAUCAACACAGACCGCACCAGUUGCAUUAGAAGACAUUUUAACAUGAUCUCCAACAAGGAAUGAAAGACAUCUGGAUUUCAACCUACAAAAUGAAAUGAAUGAUAAAGGACACGCAAAAAGCUGCUGUUCCAUCCUGGAGAUGAUUCGGCAGCAAUGGUGCAACCACAGCACAAAUUCCAUUUCGAUAGUGGAGCCAGAGCUGAAUGUCACCUUUCUCGCACACAAGCUGUCUUUGCUAAUGUAACUUUCAAAAAUGAGCAAGUUUAAUUGUUCCUACAAAAAUAUGUGAUGGAUCUCGAUGUGCAUCAAGCCUCACAAUAUCACAGGUGCAAAUACUGAGGCAAGGAGAAAGAGUAAGUGACUGUCUCAAGGUCAUAAAAAGAGUCCAUUGCAGGCCUAGGAAGACAGGCCUGAUUUCCAAUUGUCCAGGGAAAGGAGACUGCUUCCUGGGCUACCAUCUGUUGAGAAAUAUAGACGAAUGACUAGCUCUUGCUAGUCUCCCACUCUUCCCCUUGUAGGUUCCCCAGCUUCUUACUCUUCUCAGUAUCCUUUGGCUUGCCACUCCUCCCUCUCUAAUGGUCAUCAAAGUUUUGCUCUUUAGUUCCACAUAAGCUUCUGCUGUUGGCCUCCUUCUAGAGAUGCGGCAGCAGGGGCUCUAAUAACAAACAAUAAAAUCUACCAUGAUGGCAAAACCAUUUCCGACCACAGCCAGUGCUUGUCUACAUUUCCUAUGCAGAGAUGAGAUGACUUUCACCGAUGUUUGUUUCUGUUACCACUUCUGAGUCAAGAUGACAUGUAAUCAUGAGAAAGGCUCCAAGCGCAGCAUGGGAAAGUGAUUUCUCUCACCAAAUUAAAUUUUAGUAUAAGUGAAACAGGAUAGGAUGAGCAACAAAAUCCAGUGCCUGAAAUGUUUCCAGUCCUUCCCAUACACAUGUCCUUCCGUGAACAAUGCUCACAAGUCAUUGCUCCUCCUGGCAGAAGCAACGUUCUCUCCGUGCUUUAUGAACUUUUACAUGAGCUUGACGGCUAAUUACACCGCUGAGGCUUUGCCUUUAUUUCUUCU